AACGAACGCUGGCGGCAGGCUUAACACAUGCAAGUCGAACGCCCCGCAAGGGGAGUGGCAGACGGGUGAGUAACACGUGGGAACCUUCCUCGAUGUACGGAACAACUCAGGGAAACUUGAGCUAAUACCGUAUACGUCCGAGAGGAGAAAGAUUUAUCGCAUUGAGACGGGCCCGCGUCGGAUUAGCUAGUUGGUAAGGUAACGGCUUACCAAGGCAACGAUCCGUAGCUGAUCUGAGAGGAUGAUCAGCCACACUGGGACUGAGACACGGCCCAGGCUCCUACGGGAGGCAGCAGUGGGGAAUCGUAGACAAUGGGCGCAAGCCUGAUCCAGCCAUGCCGCGUGAGUGAAGAAGGCCUUCGGGUUGGAAAGCUCUUUUGUCAGGGACGAUAAUGACGGUACCUGAAGAAUAAGCCCCGGCAAACUUCGUGCCAGCCGCCGCCGUAA
rnacentral:rRNA from 1 species